rnacentral:rRNA from 1 species
GUAUAAGAGACAGCAGUCGCCGCGGGAAUACGGAGGGUGCAAGCGUUAAUCGGAAUUACUGGGCGUAAAGCGCACGCAGGCGGUCUGACAAGUCAGAUGUGAAAUCCCCGGGCUUAACCUGGGAACUGCAUUUGAAACUGUCAGGCUGGAGUCUUGUAGAGGGGGGUGGAAUUCCAGGUGUAGCGGUGAAAUGCGUAGAGAUCUGGAGGAAUACCGGUGGCGAAGGCGGCCCCCUGGACAAAGACUGACGCUCAGGUGCGAAAGCGUGGGGAGCAAACAGGAUUAGAUACCCGCGUAGUCCCUGUCUCUUAUAC